UACGGGGGGGGCAAGCGUUGUUCGGAAUUACUGGGCGUAAAGGGCGCGUAGGCGGGUGGACAAGUCUCUCGUGAAAGCCCACGGUUCAACCGUGGAAUUGCGGGAGAUACUGUCUGUCCUGAGUCCGGGAGAGGAGGGUGGAAUUCCCAGUGUAGCGGUGAAAUGCGUAGAUAUUGGGAGGAACACCGGUGGCGAAGGCGGCUCUCUGGACCGGUACUGACGCUGAGGCGCGAAAGCUAGGGGAGCAAACGGG
rnacentral:rRNA from 1 species